rnacentral:rRNA from 1 species
GGUAAGGAAUAACGUCGAGAAAUCGGCGCUAAUACCUCAUAAUGCAGCGGAUCCGCAUGGAUAUGUUGUUAAAGGUUUACCGCCUUGGGAUAGGCUUGCGUCUGAUUAGCUAGUUGGUGUGGUAAUGGCACACCAAGGCUACGAUCAGUAACUGGUCUGAGAGGAUGAUCAGUCACACUGGAACUGAGACACGGUCCAGACUCCUACGGGAGGCAGCAGUGAGGAAUAUUGGGCAAUGCACGAAAGUGUGACCCAGCAACGCCGCGUGGAGGAUGAAGGUAUUCUAUAUCGUAAACUCCCUGUGAGAGCAGACGAAAGACAGAUUAUUAAUUUGGAUGACUGUAUGCUCGGAGGAAGCCCGGCUAACUACGUG